GGUUCAGUGGUCUAGUGGUUAUGAUUUCUGUCUCACACACCCCCGGUUCGAUCCCGGGCUGAACCA